GGGGUUGUAGUUUAAUCACUAAACAUUUAAUUUGCAAUUAAAAAAAACUAGAUAGUCUUCCUCA
rnacentral:tRNA from 1 species